GGGGGGACGGAGGAGAGGCUGGUUGGGCGGCCAGCGGCGGCUCCUCGGCUACCUGUGUGGCCCUCGACCUGGCUCAGGCCCCGGGCAGUCACUGGGGGCUCUUUCCUCGGAUUUUAAGUUCUGAAUGGAGUGAGUGCCAGAAUCUCUGUUCUCGCCGAGGUCCGGUCCACCCGCCCACUGCGGGGUCGCGCUGUUUGUUUAAUUCCUGGCAAAAGGCGAGCGGGCCAGCAGUUGCGGGACAGGUGCAAUGAUUCUGGACUGAGACGCGCUUGGACAGAUGCUAUGUAAUCGUCUCUGUCUGUGCUGAGGACUUCGCUUCAGAAAGGAAAGAGGAGGGAUCGGCUCGCUUCGGCG
rnacentral:lncRNA from 1 species